rnacentral:rRNA from 1 species
CCUACGGGGGGCAGCAGUGGGGAAUAUUGCACAAUGGGCGAAAGCCUGAUGCAGCAACGCCGCGUGAAGGAAGACGGUUUUCGGAUUGUAAACUUCUGUUCUUAGUGAAGAAUAAUGACGGUAACUAAGGAGCAAGCCACGGCUAACUACGUGCCAGCAGCCGAGGUAAUACGUAGGUGGCAAGCGUUGUCCGGAAUUACUGGGUGUAAAGGGAGCGUAGGCGGGAAGCCAAGUCGGCUGUGAAAACUACGGGCUUAACCUGUAGACUGCAGUUGAAACUGGCUGUCUUGAGUGAAGUAGAGGUUGGCGGAAUUCCGAGUGUAGCGGUGAAAUGCGUAGAUAUCCGGAAGAACACCGGUGGCGAAGGCAGCCCACUGGGCUUUAACUGACGCUGAGGCUCGAAAGUGUGGGUAGCAAACAGGAUUAGAUACCCGUGUAGUC